CCGGCACGCACCCAAGCACUCAGCCGGCAAGGCCGAUCGACGGCGGCACACCGCAACACCCACGGCGACGCCACGACCAGUCGCAUAGCCCAGGCGGGAGGCAGAUGAAGAUAGCAUCGGACAACAAUUCUGCCCCGGUAUACUAUGGGCAAGCUUCUUCUCAAGAGAAACCCAUCAUGAUAUCUGCUCCAAGAAACAUAAGUUGUGGACAAAAAUGUACUGAAAGGCUAUGGACCCGUGGUCUUUGAUGACGACAUGAUGUAUUUUUGAAUUUGGAAAUGCAGGACUCCAUUUGCAAGUAAUCCAGUCCUUUGUUUCAUUAUUGUAGUAUAAGCAUAAUUGUUACCUUUUCGUAUUUAAAGAAUUGUCUUCUACUAAAUCUAAUAAUCUAAACCAAAAGUUAUAAAACAUACUCUUAUUUUUAAGUUGGAACAUUAUUGAUUUAAAAUUUAUGCAAUGUUAAAGGGAUACUAUUAAAGUGGUGCAUCAGGGUAACUUUAGCUCCAGCUCCGCCCCUGCGUACACCUCGCCUUUUUUGUGCGCCCCCUUCCUCCUCUGCUUGUACCCGCUCUCAAAAUCAUGGAGGUUGCCACAGUAGAGGUGCAGGUUCUCGUCGUGCAAAUGUAUGGUGUCGUCGCAGACGGUGUUGAGGAAGUCCCGACCGUGGGACACGGCGACCAGCGUCUUUGUUGUUCCACCGCGAGCAUAGGGUACUGCUCGUCGUGCACUGUAUUUCUAUUUGUUUUCAGGCCACUGAAGCUUACCUAGUCGGAUGUCACGGGGUGAUUGCUGAAAUGGAUUCAUUUGAAGCUUGCGCGGGACCAAUAGAGGCUUGGAACAGUGCGGCUCCACUUGUCAUUCAUUGAUUGUCGAGGAACCUGUAACUUCUCCAGUUCUCCGAGGAGGCCCCGUUUUGGUCAGGCUAACCAAGUUGCUAAUUGGAUUUCCAGAAAAUUUGGUCA